rnacentral:rRNA from 1 species
GUCAGGAUGAACGCUAGCUACAGGCUUAACACAUGCAAGUCGAGGGGCAGCAGGAUCUUAGCUUGCUAAGAUUGCUGGCGACCGGCGCACGGGUGAGUAACGCGUAUCCAACCUUCCCCUUAGUAGGGCAUAGCCCGAUGAAAAUCGGAUUAAUACCCUAUGUUUUUCCAAUGAGGACAUCUGAGCUGGAACAAAGAUUCAUCGCUAAGGGAUGGGGAUGCGUCCGAUUAGGUAGUCGGCGGGGUAACGGCCCACCGAGCCAUCGAUCGGUAGGGGUUCUGAGAGGAAGGUCCCCCACAUUGGAACUGAGACACGGUCCAAACUCCUACGGGAGGCAGCAGUGAGGAAUAUUGGUCAAUGGGCGAGAGCCUGAACCAGCCAAGUAAGCGUGCAGGAUGACGGCCCUAUGGGUUGUAAACUGCUUUUAUGCGGGGAUAAAGUGAGGGACGUGUCCCUUUUUGUAGGUACCGCAUGAAUAAGGACCGGCUAAUUCCGUGCCAGCCGCGGC